rnacentral:rRNA from 1 species
AUUGAACGCUGGCGGCAUGCUUUACACAUGCAAGUCGAACGGUAACAGGCCUUCGGGUGCUGACGAGUGGCGAACGGGUGAGUAAUGCAUCGGAACGUGCCCAGAGGUGGGGGAUAACGCAGCGAAAGCUGUGCUAAUACCGCAUGUGAUCUGAGGAUGAAAGCGGGGGACCAGGCAGCAAUGUUUGGCCUCGCGCCUUUGGAGCGGCCGAUGUCAGAUUAGGUAGUUGGUGGGGUAAAGGCCUACCAAGCCGACGAUCUGUAGCUGGUCUGAGAGGACGACCAGCCACACCGGGACUGAGACAAGGCCCAGACUCCUACGGGAGGCAGCAGUGGGGAAUUUUGGACAAUGGGCGCAAGCCUGAUCCAGCAAUGCCGCGUGCGGGAAGAAGGCCUUCGGGUUGUAAACCGCUUUUGUACGGAACGAAAAGGCUCUGGCUAAUACCUGGGGCUGAUGACGGUACCGUAAGAAUAAGCACCGGCUAACUACGUG